AUUGAACGCUGGCGGCAGGCCUAACACAUGCAAGUCGAGCGGAUGAAGGGAGCUUGCUCCUGGAUUCAGCGGCGGACGGGUGAGUAAUGCCUAGGAAUCUGCCUGGUAGUGGGGGAUAACAUCCGGAAACGGGCGCUAAUACCGCAUACGUCCUGAGGGAGAAAGUGGGGGAUCUUCGGACCUCACGCUAUCAGAUGAGCCUAGGUCGGAUUAGCUAGUUGGUGGGGUAAAGGCCUACCAAGGCGACGAUCCGUAACUGGUCUGAGAGGAUGAUCAGUCACACUGGAACUGAGACACGGUCCAGACUCCUACGGGAGGCAGCAGUGGGGAAUAUUGGACAAUGGGCGAAAGCCUGAUCCAGCCAUGCCGCGUGUGUGAAGAAGGUCUUCGGAUUGUAAAGCACUUUAAGUUGGGAGGAAGGGCAGUAAGUUAAUACCUUGCUGUUUUGACGUUACCAACAGAAUAAGCACCGGCUAACUUCGU
rnacentral:rRNA from 1 species